UUCGGGGUACUCGAGUGGCGAACGGGUGAGUAACACGUGGGUGAUCUGCCCUGCACUUUGGGAUAAGCCUGGGAAACUGGGUCUAAUACCGAAUAGGACCACGCGCUUCAUGGUGUGUGGUGGAAAGCUUUUGCGGUGUGGGAUGGGCCCGCGGCCUAUCAGCUUGUUGGUGGGGUAAUGGCCUACCAAGGCGACGACGGGUAGCCGGCCUGAGAGGGUGACCGGCCACACUGGGACUGAGAUACGGCCCAGACUCCUACGGGAGGCAGCAGUGGGGAAUAUUGCACAAUGGGCGCAAGCCUGAUGCAGCGACGCCGCGUGAGGGAUGACGGCCUUUCGGGUUGUAAACCUCUUUCAAUAGGGACGAAGCGCAAGUGACGGUACCUAUAGAAGAAGCACCGGCCAACUACGUGCCAGCAGCCGCGGUAAUACGUAGGGUGCGAGCGUUGUCCGGAAUUACUGGGCGUAAAGAGCUCGUAGGUGGUUUGUCGCGUUGUUCGUGAAAACUCACAGCUUAACUGUGGGCGUGCGGGCGAUACGGGCAGACUAGAGUACUGCAGGGGAGACUGGAAUUCCUGGUGUAGCGGUGGAAUGCGCAGAUAUCAGGAGGAACACCGGUGGCGAAGGCGGGUCUCUGGGCAGUAACUGACGCUGAGGAGCGAAAGCGUGGGGAGCGAACAGGAUUAGAUACCCUGGUAGUCCACGCCGUAAACGGUGGGUACUAGGUGUGGGUUCCUUCCUUGGGAUCCGUGCCGUAGCUAACGCAUUAAGUACCCCGCCUGGGGAGUACGGCCGCAAGGCUAAAACUCAAAGGAAUUGACGGGGGCCCGCACAAGCGGCGGAGCAUGUGGAUUAAUUCGAUGCAACGCGAAGAACCUUACCUGGGUUUGACAUGCACAGGACGCCGGCAGAGAUGUCGGUUCCCUUGUGGCCUGUGUGCAGGUGGUGCAUGGCUGUCGUCAGCUCGUGUCGUGAGAUGUUGGGUUAAGUCCCGCAACGAGCGCAACCCUUGUCCUAUGUUGCCAGCGGGUUAUGCCGGGGACUCGUAGGAGACUGCCGGGGUCAACUCGGAGGAAGGUGGGGAAUGACGUCAAGUCAUCAUGCCCCUUAUGUCCAGGGCUUCACACAUGCUACAAUGGCCGGUACAAAGGGCUGCGAUGCCGUGAGGUGGAGCGAAUCCUUUCAAAGCCGGUCUCAGUUCGGAUCGGGGUCUGCAACUCGACCCCGUGAAGUCGGAGUCGCUAGUAAUCGCAGAUCAGCAACGCUGCGGUGAAUACGUUCCCGGGCCUUGUACACACCGCCCGUCACGUCAUGAAAGUCGGUAACACCCGAAGCCANU
rnacentral:rRNA from 1 species